rnacentral:lncRNA from 10 species
UGAUUCUGAAGCAAGUUGUUGCUGAACUCCAGGUGGAGGCUCACUGGGGCUUCAUAAACAUCUGAUGAAUUAACAACGGAUACGGACUUUCCCAGGGUUGAAUGUGUUGGAGAAGGAGGUUGGUAAGCGGCUCCCCCAGCCCAGGUGGGUGGCAGGACCCCCUUACCGCCCCCAAGUAUCACACGAGGCGGGGCUCUCCUUCCUCCCUUGCUCCCUUUCCAGGGCACAAGAGAGAGUUGGUCUCCGGAAGCCAGGGCGCGUUCCCUGUCCUCUCAGCAUGCUACCUCACAUAAGGCUGGAGGGGACCUUACGAGGUCAGCAAGUCAGUUCUCAUGCAUAUGAGUAGGAUUGUACAUUUUUAACCUAGAGGAAUUAAAAAAAUCUGGCUAACAUUUAAAAAAAUCCCUGAUGAAUAGGAAAUCUUUGUAUUGUAUAAGGUUAGGUAAGACCUACCCUCAGUUUGGGUUUGUCUGAUUCGAUUAGUUCAGGUUGUAUAUUUUUGUUAGAAAUAACCACAGAAGUGGCCGGGCUCGGUGGCUCACGCCUGUAAUUCCAGCACUUUGGGAGGCCGAGGUGGAGAGGAUUAGAGAGACCAGUAUGCGUGAAUACAGGAGGAUAUUUAUUGUGAGGUACACACCGGCUCAGUGGAUUUACCUCCAAAAAGCUGGGCCUUGAAUAAAGACAGAGCGAGGUUUUUAUAAGUGGGCUCAUAAGAGCAAAACAAAGGUAGUUAAUCAUAUAGUGCAUAACUUGUGGCCUUGCAUAGCUGGUGGCCUUUUAGCUGUGUCAAAAGAAAAACAAGAAUUGGCUAAAUACAGGCAUUUGUAAAACACCGUUAUGCUUAAGAGGCAAGGGAAAGGAGUAACAAUAAAGGAAUUUGUCUUUCUCUCUCUUUUUUUUUUCCUUAACCUUGCUCUGGAGGGGGCGGGGGUGUCUGGAGCCCAUUCCUCUGUCCUUGGCUUUUUGGACAGUGUUAUAACUGUUCUUGAAUUGAGCUGCUAAGCAGAGGAAAACUUUUUUUUUUUUCUUUUUAACCCUUAUUACAGGCUCACUGCAACCUCCACCUCCUGGGUUCAAGCGAUUCUCCUGUCUCAGCCUCCCAAGUGGCUGAGAUUACAGGCAUGCGCCACCACGUCUGGCUAAUUUUCUGUAUAUUUAGUAGAGACGGGGUUUCACAAUGUUGGCCAGGCUGUUCUCAAACUUCUGAUGUCAAGUGAUCUGCCCGUCUCAGCCUCCCAAAGUGCUGAGAUUACAGGCGUGAGCCACCAUGCCCAGCCUGUCUUAUGUAUCUUUAAUAGAAGCAUUUCCAAUAUGAAAGGGCAUUAAGUAUUUGGCCCUAGAGUUUAUCUUGUGAACCUAACUGAUACACGCAGAUAUACAACAUGAUAAAAUCAUGUAUGUGACCAACUGAAACUAACCAAAAAGUCCAAAUAAUUAUGGCUCAUAUUUAAUUAUUCUUCUCAUACUCUGUUGAUUUUAUGAGAUCUUUAAAUUUUAUAAUUUUGAAGUGAAGAAAAAAAUGUUACCCGGAAUUGCCUUGAAUUCUUGCAAAUCCAAAUUCGUUAUCCUUAAGAGGAUUGAUCCAUCAAGUUUAAAAUAAUCUAUAAUAAAAAUUAUAGUUUUUUUAAUGUAUAAAGCAGAAACUGUUUUCUGUUAAGAACCAUAUCAUUAAAUAUAUAACAGGAACACUUACAGUUCAUUUUUAUUGUGAUAAUUUUAAAAUGAAUAUGUAACCAGUUCUAACUUCUUAUUUAUUAGUUGGAAUAUUACUAUAAAUGAUGACAGCCGCAGGCCAUCUGGUGUGGCUGCUGCCAGUUAAAGGUGAAAUUAUGUUUACAGAAGGGUUACAAGGUUAUUACCUAAUAAGUGUUGGUUGAGGGAUUUAUUAAAAGAAUUUUAAAGGCUAAUUUGUUAUAGAGCAGGAAUGGUUGUUGAGUGUGCCAUUGGUCUGAUAUGUUUACUUGUAAGUCUACUGAGCACAAUAAACAAUUGUUCUUUUGCCCUGUGGCUACUUAACUCUCAAAUGAAAACAGUUUUUUUGUUUAAAAUGUUAAC